rnacentral:rRNA from 1 species
GAUGAACGCUGGCGGCGUGCUUAACACAUGCAAGUCGAACGGAAAGGCCCAAGCUUGCUUGGGUACUCGAGUGGCGAACGGGUGAGUAACACGUGGGUGAUCUGCCCUGCACUUCGGGAUAAGCCUGGGAAACUGGGUCUAAUACCGGAUAGGACCACAUUUUGGAUGGUGUGGUGGAAAGUUUUUCGGUGUGGGAUGAGCUCGCGGCCUAUCAGCUUGUUGGUGGGGUAAUGGCCUACCAAGGCGUCGACGGGUAGCCGGCCUGAGAGGGUGUACGGCCACAUUGGGACUGAGAUACGGCCCAGACUCCUACGGGAGGCAGCAGUGGGGAAUAUUGCACAAUGGGCGCAAGCCUGAUGCAGCGACGCCGCGUGGGGGAUGACGGCCUUCGGGUUGUAAACUCCUUUCGCUAGGGACGAAGCGUUUUUGUGACGGUACCUGGAGAAGAAGCACCUGCUAACUACGUG